rnacentral:rRNA from 1 species
GACAGAGGGUGCAAACGUUGUUCGGAAUUACUGGGCGUAAAGCGCGUGUAGGCGGUUUCCUAAGUCUGAUGUGAAAGCCCGGGGCUCAACUCCGGAAGUGCAUUGGAUACUGGGGAACUCGAGUACCGGAGAGGAGGGUGGAAUUCCUGGUGUAGCGGUGAAAUGCGUAGAUAUCAGGAGGAACACCUGUGGCGAAGGCGGCCCUCUGGACGGAUACUGACGCUGAGACGCGAAAGCGUGGGGAGCAAACAGG